CUGAGGACUCUGUUACGCCUCUGUACUCCAUCUUCGUUAGCUCCAAAGGAUAAGAAGGAAAAAGCGCGUGAAACUAUUUCAUUCUCCCUCCGUCUCUCCCUCCUUUGCAUUCGCUUUCGCCUACUCUCUUUAUCUGAAUGGUUAGAAGAAAAAACCCUCUGUCGUUCGUCCCUCCUUUCAGCAACUGUUCGUAUUUUAGACUGGACCAUCUUCUUCCAUCGUUCGUUCUUCAUUCUCCAUCGAUCUUCCUUCUGUAUAUAUUUUCAGAGAAAAAAACAUUCCUCUGACAAACUUCCCCAACAUCUGCUCCCCCAAGGUAUAAAAUAGUUUAUGAAAUUCGCAUAUCAAAUUUUACAAGAAAAGAUCAGUGGAACGUGGCAGUAGAUAGCACAUAUGUUGGAGUGCCUAACAGUUCAAGGCCAAGAGGUGGACAACAAAAUUAAUUUAAAACUUAUAGAGAUCAAUGAUAUGAAAAGAACUAUUCAUAAAUAUAGUGAUGCAGACUCUGGGGCCACUAUAGAACUACUUGUUUGGGACUCGAAGUUGAUGGCUUCGCGAGUCUUUUCCGAUGGAAAUCAAAUCCUUGGCUACAACCGGAAGGGAAACUAGAAGAGGAACGGCGAUGGAUCACCCGGAAGCCCUCAACUCUUCCUCACCUUCAUCUUCUUCGUUCCAUCCGUGCGCUGGCCGUCAUUUUUAUGUCGCUGUUGACCGCCUUCUCUUCAAGCUGGAUACCCUGGUGGAUCUCCUAGGCGUGACAGGGCGUCGGCCGUUCCUGCCUGUUGUUCUGUGCUGCAAUUCACGGGAUGAGCUGGAUGCUGUCUAUGCUGCAGUAUCCAACCUCAACUUUAUCUCUUCGUUCCCGCUGUAUAGUGAUCAGGCUGAAGCUGAAAGAGCAUCCACCCUUGAAAAAUUUCGCCAAUCAACCAUAGGAUGGAAUCAAAAUGCUAAUGUCCAUUCUGGUGAUGGUGUUGAGCCUGAAAAUCAGAAGUCAUGCAUGAUAAUUGUGACAGAUGCUUGCCUUCCUUUUGUAACUUUGGGGGAGGCUCCUUUAGCAGCUCGUGUAUUAAUAAAUUAUGAAUUACCAUCAAAGAAGGAAACAUAUUUAAGACGCAUGUCAACAUGCUUGGCAGCAGAUGGAAUUGUGAUCAACAUGGUUGUUGGAGGCGAAGUGGUCAUUUUGAAAGGUCUGGAGGAGAGCAGUGGACUUAUACUAGCAGAAAUGCCCAUAAAUAUUUCUGAAAUCCUAUAAGAAAAUUAAUUUUUUUCUAUUCUUGGGAGGAAGGAAUAUAUGUCUGCUAAGUUUAUACUUCCAAAAAGCAUCAUCAGUCUCAGCGUUUAGGAUUUAAUUUGCUACUUUUUGUCAGAAGCCUGAGGAUGCCUAUUCGUAUAGAAGCCUAGGAAUUUGGAGUUGAGAGAUCGUGUGUAGAUUCAUACCAACAACUACCGCCAAGCUCCCUAUGCCUCUUGACUGGUGAGGCCUUCCAGGAUCCUGCAGCUGCGUUUUGUGACAACUACUUUCGGAAGAAAAUAAUAGAAGAGUAUUUCCAGGCCCCCUCUAUAGUAAGGAGCUCUCUCCAGCUUUUAAAUUAGAGCUCACAUGAAACUCUGUGCUUCACAACUCCAAUAUUGGAGUGGAAGGAAUGGGAUGAGAAAACCAAUGGGGAGAGGAAUGAAAGAAGAAGCUUAUAAAA